rnacentral:rRNA from 1 species
GACGAACGCGGCGGCGUGCCUAAUACAUGCAAGUAGAACGCUGAAGGAGGAGCUUGCUUCUCUGGAUGAGUUGCGAACGGGUGAGUAACGCGUAGGUAACCUGCCUGGUAGCGGGGGAUAACUAUUGGAAACGAUAGCUAAUACCGCAUAAUAGCAGUUAUUGCAUGAUAACUGUUUGAGAGGUGCAAUUGCAUCACUACCAGAUGGACCUGCGUUGUAUUAGCUAGUUGGUGGGGUAACGGCUCACCAAGGCGACGAUACAUAGCCGACCUGAGAGGGUGAUCGGCCACACUGGGACUGAGACACGGCCCAGACUCCUACGGGAGGCAGCAGUAGGGAAUCUUCGGCAAUGGACGGAAGUCUGACCGAGCAACGCCGCGUGAGUGAAGAAGGUUUUCGGAUCGUAAAGCUCUGUUGUAAGAGAAGAACGAGUGUGAGAGUGGAAAGUUCACACUGUGACG